GAUGAACGCUGGCGGCGUGCCUAAUACAUGCAAGUCGAGCGAACAGACGAGGAGCUUGCUCCUCUGACGUUAGCGGCGGACGGGUGAGUCACACGUGGAUAACCUACCUAUAAGACUGGGAUAACUUCGGGAAACCGGAGCUAAUACCGGAUAAUAUAUUGAACCGCAUGGUUCAAUAGUGAAAGACGGUUUUGCUGUCACUUAUAGAUGGAUCCGCGCCGCAUUAGCUAGUUGGUAAGGUAACGGCUUACCAAGGCGACGAUGCGUAGCCGACCUGAGAGGGUGAUCCGCCACACUGGAACUGAGACACGGUCCAGACUCCUAAGGGGGGCAGCAGUAGGGAAUCUUCCGCAAUGGGCGAAAGCCUGACGGAGCAACGCCGCGGGAGUGAUGAAGGUCUUCGGAUCGUAAAACUCUGUUAUUAGGGAAGAAGAAAUGUGUAAGUAACUAUGCACGUCUUGACGGUACCUAAUCAGAAAGCCACGGCUAACUACGUG
rnacentral:rRNA from 1 species